GCCCGAAUGGCGGAACGGUAGACGCGCUAGCUUCAGGUGCUAGUAAUUUUAUAUUGUGGAAGUUCAACUCUUCUUUCGGGCA
rnacentral:tRNA from 1 species